rnacentral:rRNA from 1 species
GACGAACCGUGCGAACGUUGUUCGGAAUCACUGGGCUUAAAGGGCGCGUAGGCGGCUUGUCAAGUCAGGGGUGAAAUCUUUCGGCUCAACCGGAAAAGUGCCUUUGAUACUGUCAGGCUUGAGGGAGGUAGGGGUAUGUGGAACUUCUGGUGGAGCGGUGAAAUGCGUUGAUAUCAGGAGGAACGCCGGUGGCGAAAGCGACGUACUGGACCUCUUCUGACGCUGAGGCGCGAAAGCUAGGGGAGCAAACGGG